AUUGAACGCUGGCGGCAGGCCUAACACAUGCAAGUCGAGCGGAUGAGUGGAGCUUGCUCCAUGAUUCAGCGGCGGACGGGUGAGUAAUGCCUAGGAAUCUGCCUGGUAGUGGGGGACAACGUUUCGAAAGGAACGCUAAUACCGCAUACGUCCUACGGGAGAAAGUGGGGGAUCUUCGGACCUCACGCUAUCAGAUGAGCCUGGGUCGGAUUAGCUAGUUGGUGAGGUAAAGGCUCACCAAGGCGACGAUCCGUAACUGGGCUGAGAGGAUGAUCAGUCACACUGGAACUGAGACACGGGCCAGACUCCUACGGGAGGCAGCAGGGGGGAAUAUUGGACGAUGGGCGAGAGCCUGGUCCAGCCAUGCCGCGUGUGUGAAGAAGGUCUUCGGAUUGUAAAGCACUUUAAGUUGGGAGGAAGGGCAGUAAGUUAAUACCUUGCUGUUUUGACGUUACCAACAGAAUAAGCACCGGCUAACUUCGUGCCAGCCGCCGCCGUAAUAC
rnacentral:rRNA from 1 species